CCCCCUGAAUGAUGUAGGCUAUGGGGCCACAUAAGACUUUGUCCAUCCAGGGUUACGUUGAAUGCCAAAUUUAAACUAAAGAACCCCCUGAAUGAUGUAGGCUAUGGGGCCACAUAAGACUUUGUCCAUCCAGGGUUACGUUGAAUGCCAAAUUUAAACUAAAGAGCUACCAGACUGGGAUUUUAGUGUACUCCAGGAUCUAACAAAUACAUACGUACUACUACGAAGUGUACAGUGCAUAAUAUAGUGUUUAGUGUAUAAUCUAACCUAAGGAUUAAGUGUAGUACAUUGUGCUUUUUAGUGUCACAAGAGUUUAAUAAAGAAUUAUACCUUCAAGAACCAUCCUUUGCCAUUGGAAUAACCACACUACACAUCAUGCAAUCUACUUGCAUGUCACACAGGUAAGGUCUCUAACUUUUUCUUAGUUUAAGGCAUAUUUCCAAGUGUCGUUCCGGCUUACGACGAUUUUCGGCUUACGACGCGCCUCAAGAACGGAACCCCCGUCGUAACCCGGGGAC